AAUGUGGAAGAAGCUGAAGACAGUCAUGAAUAGACUGAAGCUGAAGAAGCUGAAUACAGUCAUGAAUAGACUGAAGCUGAAGAAGCUGAAUACAUGACAUGAAGUCGGAUGAGAAUCUAAAUAUGGCCCAGAAGCAGUUAUUCGAUUUUAAAUGAGAAGAAUCGGAAAGUGUCUCUUAUAACUUAUCAAAGUUGGAACUGAUAGCGACGAAGAUGGAAACCCUUGGGAGUGAAAUCGGCGAGAAAAUGCUGAUAUCACGCAUUUAAUCGGUGUUGCCGAACAAGUUUGAACAUUUUCAUAGUGCGUGGGAUUCGGUGGAAGAAGAAAAGAAGACCUUAAACAGACUUAGUACCGGGCUGAUGGUGGAAGAAAUCAGAAUUGGUCUAUUAGGAAGCACCUCAAUGAUGCAAGUGACAAACCAUGGAUGCGUACGGCGAAGGAAAAAUCAAGAUGGAGACUUUUGUGGACGGCAAAUUGGUCGCAUGUGCAAUGACCGAUGUCUUGUUUGUACCAGGUUCUCGAAUUCCAUGAUUCAGGAAGAUUCUCGAUCCUUCCGGUAGAAGAAAUCUCCCGUGUAUACUGUAGCAACUAGAUACCGAUAAACAGUUACCAUAGUAGAAAAUCUCGAGACCACGGACUCUUUAAUUAGUGACCAGUACACGAAAAAACGUAAGCUGGAAGCAAUCAAGAUAAAUGUGAACAAGAGUCAAACUAAACCACCAGCUAGCCAAGUGACCACCUACAACAGGUUCUCAAUACUUGAGACUACAGAAGAUUCCAUGAACACAACCGAAACGAUAAAUAAUCUACAUACCCAAAGAAUUCCCCCUCCCCCGCCAAUAUUCAUUGACGACGUUAUCGACAUCCAAACAAUGAUAAAGUCCAUUGAAAAAGAUAUCAGCAAAGAGGACUACAAGUUAAAAAUUAAUAAUAACCACGUGAAAAUUCUGCCGACCAACCCAGACGCCUAUAGAAAAUUAA